rnacentral:rRNA from 1 species
AUUGAACGCUGGCGGCAGGCCUAACACAUGCAAGUCGAGCGGAUGAAGGGAGCUUGCUCCUGGAUUCAGCGGCGGACGGGUGAGUAAUGCCUAGGAAUCUGCCUGGUAGUGGGGGAUAACGUCCGGAAACGGGCGCUAAUACCGCAUACGGCCUGAGGGAGAAAGUGGGGGAUCUUCGGACCUCACGCUAUCAGAUGAGCCUAGGUCGGAUUAGCUAGUUGGUGGGGUAAAGGCCUACCAAGGCGACGAUCCGUAACUGGUCUGAGAGGAUGAUCAGUCACACUGGAACUGAGACACGGUCCAGACUCCUACGGGAGGCAGCAGUGGGGAAUAUUGGACAAUGGGCGAAAGCCUGAUCCAGCCAUGCCGCGUGUGUGAAGAAGGUCUUCGGAUUGUAAAGCACUUUAAGUUGGGAGGAAGGGCAGUAAGUUAAUACCUUGCUGUUUUGACGUUACCAACAGAAUAAGCACCGGCUAACUUCGCG